AGAGUUUGAUCAUGGCUCAGAUUGAACGCUGGCGGCAGGCCUAACACAUGCAAGUCGAGCGGUAGCACAGGAGAGCUUGCUCUCUGGGUGACGAGCGGCGGACGGGUGAGUAAUGUCUGGGAAACUGCCUGAUGGAGGGGGAUAACUACUGGAAACGGUAGCUAAUACCGCAUAACGUCUUCAGACCAAAGUGGGGGACCUUCGGGCCUCACGCCAUCAGAUGUGCCCAGAUGGGAUUAGCUAGUAGGUGGGGUAAUGGCUCACCUAGGCGACGAUCCCUAGCUGGUCUGAGAGGAUGACCAGCCACACUGGAACUGAGACACGGUCCAGACUCCUACGGGAGGCAGCAGUGGGGAAUAUUGCACAAUGGGCGCAAGCCUGAUGCAGCCAUGCCGCGUGUGUGAAGAAGGCCUUCGGGUUGUAAAGCACUUUCAGCGAGGAGGAAGGGCAGUGUGUUAAUAGCACAUUGCAUUGACGUUACUCGCAGAAGAAGCACCGGCUAACUCCGUGCCAGCAGCCGCGGUAAUACGGAGGGUGCAAGCGUUAAUCGGAAUUACUGGGCGUAAAGCGCACGCAGGCGGUUUGUUAAGUCAGAUGUGAAAUCCCCGCGCUUAACGUGGGAACUGCAUUUGAAACUGGCAAGCUAGAGUCUUGUAGAGGGGGGUAGAAUUCCAGGUGUAGCGGUGAAAUGCGUAGAGAUCUGGAGGAAUACCGGUGGCGAAGGCGGCCCCCUGGACAAAGACUGACGCUCAGGUGCGAAAGCGUGGGGAGCAAACAGGAUUAGAUACCCCGGUAGUCC
rnacentral:rRNA from 1 species